rnacentral:sRNA from 1 species
AUGGGUUAUGCGUAUGAAAUUUUGGAGCUUGACUCAUGAUUGGGUUUAGGGUGAUCAAUGUUUUUGCUGUGCUUUUGGUUAGAAUUUGGCUAGUUGGGUUACGUGUAUGAAAUUUUGGAGCUUGACCCAUAAUUGGUUUUUGCUGUGAUUUUUUUUAAGAAUUUGGCUAGUUGGGUUAUAUGGAGAACUUUUGCUGUGAUUUUUUUUUUUUUUUAAUUUGGCUAGUUGGGUUAUGUGUAUAAAUUUUGGAGCUUGACCCAUGAUUGGUUUUUUUUUUUUUUUUUUUAUUUAGAAUUUGGCUAGUUGGGUUUUGUGUAUACAGUUUUGGAGCUUGAUAUGUAUACUUUGAUGUAGCAAAUGUUAUGUAGUUGCCUAUUGGGUUAUGUAUACUUUCAAGCUUGAGACAUGACUAAUUGUAUGAUUUUUUUCACCAUAUAUCUUACAUUUGCAAAACUCAUGUUGGUGUUAUUAUUUUCUUGUAGUAGAAUAUGUGUGUGUUUAAACCUUAAUUGAAGGUGCAUUGGGGACAGUGCUGAGUUUGUUGUAGACAAUGUGGAGGAAGGUGUGGUCAAGAAAGGAAAGAAUGCAAUCGAGUCAUCCACUAUUGGGUCGGGAAUUUUCAAGUCCCGCAAAAAAGGGCGUGCACUUUCUAAUGCUGAUGAUAGUGUGCUAACUGAUCUGUCUGAUCAGUUGAAGGAAAUAGCUGUGGCUCUAAAAGAAAUCAACUGGGGCCCGGUGGAUUACACAACUCUUUACAAUGAGGUCAUGGCUAUGAUGGCGGAUGGGUAUAGCGAAGACAUGCUCGCAACUGCGUUUGACCAUCUUUGUGAAAAUGAGAAGGCAGUACGGGGAUUUCUAGCCAAGAAUGCUAGGCCGAGAAAGCUGUGGUUGGAUGGUUUUUUAUUCUCACAACUUUGACUUGUCUGUUUUACGUUGACUGUGACGGUAGCUUUAGGAAUUAACUUUUGUUGUAGUACUAGUAUUGACCUGCCAUUUGUAUUAUAUAUGUAGUCUUUUGUAUUAUUGGAAAGAUACAAUUGCCCAAAUUAUGUAUUUGUACUAUUCAAAUACCACGAGUAUGUAUCAUUUUUGUACACCAUGGAGGUGUAAUGCUAAUGGUGAACGAUUGAUGUAGCUGUUUUUAUAUAAAUAUUAUGGGUAUAUUUAAAUGAUUAUUUUUUAUGUUGAAGUGGAUGAUUAGUUUUUUACUGUCACAGGUUUGUCUAGGUAAUGCAAGUGUAGGAAUUUGUAAGGCAUUUCAUAUUUUCCGUAAAAUGAUCCACGAACCAAACAUGGGAAUUAAUUUUCCGUAAAAAAUGUCCUCAAUUUUUCGUAAAAUGUUUGACCGAACCAAAUAUAGGAAUUGAUUUUCUGUAAAACGGAAAGCAUUUUCCGUAAAAUAUUUGAACGAAUCAAACACCGGAAUUGAUUUUCCGUAAAACGAAUUCCGAGACAGCCAAACAACCUGAAUGCAUUUUCCUUUUCCAGAAAAAGCAUUUCCGGAAAAUAUUUAUUUUUUGGAAAAUAUUUUACACGAACCAAACAGACCCUAAACUACAAUCUAAGAGAUCCAAGAAAUUUCAAAGUUUGCAACUUCAGAGCAAAAAGAUUGUUCCCACUUCCCACCAAGUCAAACAGAAUAUCAAAACUAUUUUUUUGAUAUUCUGAACGUCAACACUGUCUGAGCCUCCAAUAUACUAUGUUGGCUUCACAUCAUUUACUAUACAUAAAGUUGAAACAGAAUGUGCAGUGAUCCAUGCUUUGUUUGUAUUGGUUUGUUUGAAUUACUGUAGCUUGAAUUGAAUUUUCCUGUGGUGUGAGGUUUGCAAUUUACUUAUGUAUUAAUUUUCCCAUUUUGCAGAAUAUAUGUUUUGUGGAUCUGUUGUACUUUUUAAUCCUCUAUUGAGGGGUUAUGAAAAUUUGAACUGUUUGGUUUUCUGAUUGUAUUAGUACAAGUCAUGCUCUGUUUUCUUUUUCCUCAAAAACUUGUUGAGGUCUAUGAAUAAUAGUGUGGAUUUGGUUCUUUUUCUUUCUUCUAGCCAGUUUGGGAAGUUUUCAAAGUGAUAAUUUAUUUGGGACUCCAAAACCAAAUCUUCUAUUUGGGCUCACAAACUAAAGGUGGAUUUGGAUGGAUUUUUAAAGAAGCCUUAAAUCAACAUGGAUAGGUCACUUUUUUUCAUCCUUUUUUCGGAAAUAGUUCUUAGUUUUUUUCUUAAUCACCAAUUAGAGAUUAUGAUCGAUGCAGAUCUAAUUUCUCUUUUGUAUAAUCUGGAACUAGGUUUCCAUUUUUGUUUUCCCUAACAAACCAAAAGGGUUUUUUUUUGGGGAUAAGUUUGAAUAGCUCAUUUGUGCCAUCUUUUUUUUGUCUUAUAUGGUACAAUAGAAUACUUCCAAAUGCCAGAUUUGGGUUAGUGGACAUGCAAUACAAGUUUAUAAAAUUUGUUUCCCCAAAAAAAUAAAAAGUUAAUAAAAUUUAGGAGUGGGAAGCGAGUGAAACCUCUCUGUUGGAUUAGACAUGAGAAAUUGAGGGUUGAAGACGUCCGGUUUUAAUGGGUCGACCAACAUUAGCCCAAAAUUUUAACCCAUUAACACCAAUUCAAACUUUAAGAAAUGUUACUGCACUUAAUAUUUUUUAAUUGGAUACGAAUUUUGACAAAUUCACCAUUAAAUUACAUUAUCUUUGUUUAUUCUCCAUAUUUGCAAAAUUUCAAGGUAAUCAAAGAUCAAUAAUAAUGUCGUUAAACAAUUGCUUAAAUUCAAGUUUUUGUAGUUUAAAAUAAUACAUAAAAUAUGAGUUUAUGAAUUGAAUGAUAAAUAACAUCCAAUUGGCAAGAAAAUUGGUGUGUAUGUUAAGAACAUGUAAAACAUAUAAUCUAAUGGUUAGAUUUGCAAAGUUAAGAGAAAAUUCAAUUAGAUUUUCAAUUGGAGUCUAAUUAUAAGACAUAUGUCUCAUAUAAAUCUUAAAAUUUUAUGCCAAGUGAGUUAUUAGGGCAAACGCUGAAAUGUCAAAAAUAAAAAUUCAAUUAGAUUUUUAAUUAGAGUCUAAUUUUGUGCCACAUAUCUCAUAUAAUAAUUUUUUUAAUUUUUGUGUCACGUGAGUUAUUAGUGCAAAAAUUAAAGAAUCAAAAAUAAAAAGAAAAAGAAAAAAGAAACGUUUGAUUUGACUUUGACAAGGUAUUAACGUGAUUGUUCACAAUGGUAAUGGAGAAAAUUAAAAAAGAUAAAUAAAUAAGGCAAAUGUUAUAUUUAUACUAGGCUUAGACUUCAACUUAGGUUUCGUUCUCCUGUAGACCAAAGCUAAGAUUCUAAAUCAAUAAAAACUAAAUUCUAGCACAAAAGAAAAUUAAUAACAUUUGCUAUCAAUAUUUUUUCCUUAGAUAUAACAAUAUUAUUAUUAUUAUUAUUAUUAUAUAAAUAGUGGUUGAAUAAAAUAAAAUAGAGAAUUACAUGAAUAAAAAUUUAAAUUAAUUUUUUCUCAUUUGUUUCAAAUAAACUUGUAUUUAUUUUAUAAGCAGCUAAUAUAUAUUUUCAAAUACAUAAGCAUUAUAUAUGUCAUAUAUAAAAUAUGAAAUUUUUUACUGUAAUAUUUAAUCGAAAAUGCAAAAUUCAACCUUUAAGUUUUACCACUUUUCAUUUCAGUCCUCUAAGUUUACAUACAGUCAUUUCAGUUAUCUAAAUUUCAAAACUCUUCAAUUCAGUCAUUCAUUAAACAGCCAUCCAUUUAUGCCAUUAACACCCCAAAACAAUGCCUUUUUGGUCUGAUUUUAAAUUUUUAUUUUUAUUUGAUUAUUUAUUUCUUAAUUUAAUAAAAUGUUAAUUAAAAAAAGCCUAAACCCCAAACGAUUUCAUCCCUCCGUUAAGAGGAGAGAAGGUGAUGGCUGAGAAAGCAUGGGAAGGGGAGAGGACAAUUGUGAAACAGAGUAGCUUUAGCGAAUUGGGGUUUGGAUGCUAACAAUGAGGAGGUGGAGAUGGCAUCGGUGGAUGUUGUAGAUGUCGGAGAACCAGGAGUUGACCAUGUGGGCAGUGUGGGUGAUGAGGGUUUUGAUUUGGUUGGAGUUUAG